GAUGAACGCUGGCGGCGUGCCUAAUACAUGCAAGUCGAGCGAACAGACGAGGAGCUUGCUCCUCUGACGUUAGCGGCGGACGGGUGAGUAACACGUGGAUAACCUACCUAUAAGACUGGGAUAACUUCGGGAAACCGGAGCUAAUACCGGAUAAUAUAUUGAACCGCAUGGUUCAAUAGUGAAAGACGGUUUUGCUGUCACUUAUAGAUGGAUCCGCGCCGCAUUAGCUAGUUGGUAAGGUAACGGCUUACCAAGGCAACGAUGCGUAGCCGACCUGAGAGGGUGAUCGGCCACACUGGAACUAAGACACGGUCCAGACUCCUACGGGAGGCAGCAGUAGGAAAUCUUCCGCAAUGGGCGAAAGCCUGACGGAGCAACGCCGCGUGAGUGAUGAAGGUCUUCGGAUCGUAAAACUCUGUUAUUAGGGAAGAACAAAUGUGUAAGUAACUAUGCACGUCUUGACGGUACCUAAUCAGAAAGCCACGGCUAACUACGU
rnacentral:rRNA from 1 species